AGGAAGCAACUUAUAAAUGGGGGGCAAUGAUGUUACUAUUUCUUUUCCUUUUAUUAGCGUGCAUGCCAGGGAUGACUGCCUUGUGCGUAUCAUGGUGAGGAGUAGCAGCAUGCCAUAUUUGCUCGCUCUGCCGAGCACCGUGGAGGAGGCAAGGGGCCGUUAUGGAGUAAAUCAAACAUUUUAUGAGUGCCGCACGCCCGCAUUCGAUGUCGGAGAGAUACAUUAGGGGGGAAAUCGAUCUCGAAAAUGAUAUAAGAGGCAUGUUAUGAUUUAAGGGUGUUUUCCACUC